rnacentral:lncRNA from 10 species
GUGCCUGAGAGAAAGUUUUUCUCUUCUGCUAGCCUCUUUCCCUUAUAGGAGAAUAUUAUGUAAUGCAUACAUUUCAUCUUACCUUUAAUUGCCUGGUUUAAUAAUAAAUACUUAACAAUUUUUUUGUAAUUUUUGCCAUACCGGAGGAGAAAUCUGUCUUGGUGUUGGAGCCUCUUGGAAUUCGUGACAAGGAAAAAAGUACACCAAGUAAACUAGUAAAACAAAAGUGAGAAGGCCCUUGACAGAUGUGAGUGGACAAGAGGUGUAGGGGGAAGAAGA